AUGGCUGCCACCAUGAAAACGUGCUCUUGUUUAUAAACAAGUGGAUUUCUACACUGAUUUUCGACAGAACAUUUUGCCUGACAUUGAACUAAUAACUCUAUAUUUUUCAAGGUUUCUAUAAGCUUUCUUGGAAUGACUAAUCAAGGGAUGACAUCUUUGACAUGUCUGAGAGAAACAUAGCUUAUAUCUCAUUCUCAAUGUCAAAUCGGCAGCAGCUUGUUUUACUGUUUUGACACACUCACGCCACUCAGGAAGUUUUCAUUAAGACCGGGACAUGCACCUUUGUAUUAACUGUUCCCGUUUUUUACGGCUUACGCAAGCGAUCCCAAAAAAAUUUGGUGCUUCCUCUGUUCCAAGACAUUUUGGUACAAGAAACUUUACAAAUGAUCCAACAUCCCGACCUGACAUACCCACUCAACGCGUGGAGCCGGUGCCUAAACAUCGGUCGUUGUUACACGCAGAAGAUGUGCCCAGCAAGGAAAAGGUCUUGUCCAGUCAUGAGGUGUUGGCGGGGAAAACUGUUACUCGUUCAAGUCAUUACAUCAUUGACAGAGAUAUUGCAAGGGCUAUAGCGACAGCAGUUUAUCAAAACCAGCCAUCCGAGAGUUGUGUCCUUGUCGAGGCAAAUCCUGGGCCAGGGAUAUUGACAAGGGCUUUCUUUGAUGCAGGGUGUCAGCACGUUGUUGCUGUAGAGAGUAAACCAGAAUUCCAGCCAUACAUGCAGGAGAUUGAGAGGACAGUGGGACCAGACAGACUCAAGUAUUUUGACUUUGAUCCUUUCAUCUUGUGGAGGCGGGACAUGAUCACGAACAAGCAUGAUGCCAGGUACAAGGAAGUAGAGAACAGCAUUGCCCAGUACAUAACAUCCAGGCUGCUGACAGAUGUUCCUGUCAGUGUGUUUGGUGUUCUGAGUAAAAACAAGGAGUAUCCCUUCCUCUCCUACCUGUCCAAGACCUUUGCCUUAGGGGAAGGGCUGUUCUCUGUCAGGCCAAGGAACUGGUUCUUGUUUGUGUCUGCUAAAAUGUACCUGCAACUGAAGGUUUGUCGGGGUGACGUUUGGUCGUCCGUCUUCUACAACAAAGUGGCUGUCAUCCUCUACAGUUUCUUUGACUUCAAGUUGGUGAUGGAGCUUGAACACAACAAAUUUGCACCUCCAUUUAGGAAGAAAAUCAGGAAAGUGACCCGGCUGUACCCCGAGUGUGAUGUCAACACAAAGUACCUUGUGCAGCUGUCGGUGAAGCCAAAUGUAGAACAGAUCCUUCCUCCCAGUGAGAUCACCACCUUUGCCAUGUUCCUUAAACAGCUCCUGUUCAGGAGGAAUGACAGAUUCAUCCCCCGAAUGGAACAGCUGAUCCCUGGGUGUGGGCUGCACUUGAUCCAGGCCAGGUUCUCCAUGAUGCAGCUAGUGAUGGACCUGACUCCGGCACAGCUGCUGGAGGUCUUCAAGUCACUUCUCACCUGGCCAGAGUAUCCGGACUCUCCCCUGUCCUUCAUCUUGACAGAGAGGUCAGAGGUCGACAUUGAUGAGGAAGAGGUCAAGGAUAAAUUAAAAGAGGAGGAGGACAAGUUGAAAGAGGAAGAUAUUGCCUUUGAAGGCAGCAGGGUGGUCCGUGGUGGUGACUGAUGCACUGACCUCUACCAAGGUCCUGGAGGUCAGCAGGGUGGUCUGUGGUGGUGAUUGAUGCACCAGCCUCUACCAAGGUCCUUGAGGUCAGCAGGGUGGUCUGUGGUGGUGAUUGAUGUACCAGCCUCUACCAAGGUCCCGGAGGUCAGCAGGGUGGUCUGUGGUGGUGAUUGAUGCACAGCCUCUACCAAGGUCCCGGAGGUCAGCAGGGUGGUCAGUGGUGGUGAUUGAUGUACCAGCCUCUACCAAGGUCCCGGAGGUCAGCAGGGUGGUCUGUGGUGGUGAUUGAUGUACCAGCCUUUACCAAGAUCCUGGAGGUCAGCAGGGUGGUCAGUGGUGGUGAUUGAUGCACCAGCCUCUACCAAGAUCCUGGAGGUCAGCAGGGUGGUCUGUGGUGGUGAUUGAUGCACAGCCUCUACCAAGGUCCCGGAGGUCAGCAGGGUGGUCUGUGGUGGUGAUUGAUGUACCAGCCUCUACCAAGGUCCCGGAGGUCAGCAGGGUGGUCAGUGGUGGUGAUUGAUGUACCAGCCUCUACCAAGGUCCCGGAGGUCAGCAGGGUGGUCUGUGGUGGUGAUUGAUGUACCAGCCUUUACCAAGAUCCUGGAGGUCAGCAGGGUGGUCUGUGGUGGUGAUUGAUGCACCAACCUCUACCAAGAUCCUGGAGGUCAGCAGGGUGGUCCAUGGUGGUGACCGAUGCACCAGCCUUGAACAUCUGCAUGGUGGUCUGUGGUGUUAGAAAAUCUUCGUGGUGUCUGUGGUGGUUACCUAUGUGUCUCACAGUAGUCUAUUUCUGAUGUUUAUGUUGUGAAAAUGAAAGUAAUAUUUCUCAUCAUAUUUUGUAUAGGAGUGAAUAUUUUGAUGAGAAGAUGAUUUCUAUUUCUCAACUGCUGAACACGUAUGUGAUUAUCUCCCUUUGAUCAGUUGAAUCUCAUAAUCUCUUGAGUGGUCAAAGAAUUUCAGCUUAUACCAAAUAUUUAUCUUUCAUGACAAUACAACCGGGACACCCCUGUCCAAGUGUUGACCUGCUGCCCCACUGCAAAUGUAUCACAUGUAGGUCAUUCAGAAGUCUGCUGCUGACAUCAACUCAAUGUGUCUCAUGCACCUAUUGUAAAUGCCUGUUUGAACUCGAUGUACCGCAUAUAUUGAGUACAUUGUAAUUAUUUACUGAACAAUAUCAUACCAACUGAUGAUGAAGUGAAUCCUGGAGCUUAGAUGUGAAACACUUUGGUCCUGUGAAAAAGUGUCGGUCCCUCUAGCGAGUUUGGUUUUACACCACUUUUAACAAUAGUCCAUAGGGAUGCCACGAUACAUCGAUACAUUGAUGCUUCUUCUAAGACUUACAAUUAUCGAUACAUUCAAAA